GGGGUGCUCGAGUGGCGAACGGGUGAGUAACACGUGAGUAACCUGCCCUUGACUUUGGGAUAACUUCAGGAAACUGGGGCUAAUACCGGAUAGGAGCUCCCGCUGCAUGGUGGGGGUUGGAAAGUUUCGGCGGUUGGGGAUGGACUCGCGGCUUAUCAGCUUGUUGGUGGGGUAGUGGCUUACCAAGGCUUUGACGGGUAGCCGGCCUGAGAGGGUGACCGGCCACAUUGGGACUGAGAUACGGCCCAG
rnacentral:rRNA from 1 species